GUAUCUGGAAGCUCUUGGAUCUGGGUGAUGCAAUCUAAGACUAUGCUGUCUCACAGGCUGAUUGGUUUUCGUGGGGAGCUAGAAUUGUGGCUUCAGUCAGAGAUUUAAGGUGCCAGGGCCAAGAGAAUAACAAUCUCAGAUGUCGAGUGUCAGCAGUGAUUCUGUGUAAGUUGACACAUCAAACAGGAAGGUGGUCUCCUGCCGCCCCAAUUCUUUUCUUCUCAAUAAGUGACUUUCCAACUCUGCAACUACAUGCACUUUGGUUGCAUCAUUUUGAGACCAGCAUUGCACAUCUUGUUUUUAGUACCCCCAGUCGUGUGCUCGCUCUGUCCUCUUUUUGCUGCAGAGUUGCAAUUGUUUCAUCUAGUUCAGCCAUAGCAGGGUCUUCAGGUACUUCCACUUUUCCAGCAACCUGUAUUUGGUACUAGCAAGUUUUCCGUUAAUUAUUACUUAUUGUGGAGGAUGAGUCUAUAUAUGUAUGACGUUAAAAAGGAACAAAGCUAUUCACUGCAGCAAAUGGCACUGGCGUCAUCUUAUAUCCAUUAGAUGGCUAGAGUCUGUUUGGUAAGAGAGCACUUCUGGGAUGAAAAUGCACUGUGGGUAAAAUGCGUUUGAUAUGAGGAAUCAAUGGGCAAGGGCAAUCAUUGCACUUGUAAGCACCCGGACUCAAGUCCCUUAUCUUCUUGCAAAGGUUACAAUAGUACUCACUGGUAUCAUCUUCGAUGAACGAAGCGUAGAGUGUGAGUUGAUGGAAGUUAAUGGGAAUCCUUUACUGUAGUGGUAGGCAAUCUGUGAUGAUUAUGAGUGCAAUGCACACAACUGUAGAAGUCGAACCUGCAAAAUUUACCACAGACAUUGCAUAGGAAGCACGGUUCGGUAGGUCUAAAUUAAGAAAGAGUAUUUGGCUGUGGAGGUGAUGUAUCAAAGUGGGCCUGUCAAAAGUGCAUGGAAUAUUGAAGCCGUAGUCACUUUCCGUGCAGUGAAAGAGCGUCAACAAUCUUUACGACAUAUUUCAACAAUGCUCCUUCCUGAUACUAAAAGAAAAAGCAUGUGCGGGGUGAACAGGUUAUUGCAUAACAGAGGGCAAUUCAUCACAAGAAUUAUGGAGCUGAAAAGAGCUGCUCUGCUCCAGCCAGUGAUAGGCUAAACAUUUGACGCAUUCAUCAUGAGUCUUGCACGGACCAUCCUUCAUAUGACAAUACCAGCGGCAGAUUUUGAACGUGAGAAAGAAGAGGCAAUCAAGACAAGCAGAGACCUCACCUGAUCUUGUGAACGUAGCCGUGCAGUCCAUGUCGCGGCUGAAUUUGCAUUCGCUGCUGUAGGAAACCAUGGUAAGCAUUACAUUUAGCUCCUCCAAUUGAUCGAAAGCAAGAGAGAGAGAGAGGGUGAUCAUGGAGAGACGGGUGUUGCAUCUCUGUGGGGGAUUCGGUGCAGCUUUUGUGGAGAAAGAAUAUGCACGCAUGGCCUCAAUAGACCUCCCCCAAGAUCGCUUGCUCGCAGGUUUUGCAUUUAUUUCUACUUUUCAUCCUGAGAUGAUGGGAUGUGAGCGGCUCUUGAGCAUAUAUUGGAUGGCCAUAUUCUGAGAAUCCUCAUCGAGGCUUAGUCGUGACUAGGCAGACGAAGCUAUAUCGGGCUGUGCAAUAACAAUCGACCCAUUCGAAUGGCAAGAGAAGGUUUUCAUAUAUAAAAGGCGAAAUAUUCAUUGGAAUAUAUAUAAUAUCUAUAUCACUAGACCGGUGAGGUCGUGUAUUUCAUCGUGUCGUGAUCAACUUUGCUAGGAAAAUAAAAUGAUACUGUUUAUGUAUGCGUGUUAUGCUUGGGUG